CUUGAGAUUCUGUUUCCUUGUCUUUUUUCUUGGAAAUUGUUUUAUCCCUAGUGUGAUGUAAUUGGAUCCCUAAUUGAUGUGGCAAUUUUUUUUUCUUACCUGACUCUGGUUCUAGUUUAUCUGUGCUGGCCUCCCAUAAAUAUAGUCCACAAAUUCUAGUUUGGGAGGUUUCACUUGUAAUCAUUGUCUAUGCUCAUGGCUGUCCAUUGUCCAGCUAUACAAAUGUGGGGGAAAUUUUCAAAUCUUUCUAGAGUUAGGUUGGCUUGUUUUGGCAACAGGCUGUUGCCAGGGAUCUCACAAAUCUCAUUCAAUGCCACCUCAGAGCAAAACUUGCAACUUUCAACAGCCUUCCUAUUCAUCCAAAA